rnacentral:rRNA from 1 species
AUUGAACGCUGGCGGCAGGCUUAACACAUGCAAGUCGAGCGGAGAUGAGGUGCUUGCACCUUAUCUUAGCGGCGGACGGGUGAGUAAUGCUUAGGAAUCUGCCUAUUAGUGGGGGACAACAUUCCGAAAGGAAUGCUAAUACCGCAUACGCCCUACGGGGGAAAGCAGGGGAUCUUCGGACCUUGCGCUAAUAGAUGAGCCUAAGUCGGAUUAGCUAGUUGGUGGGGUAAAGGCCUACCAAGGCGACGAUCUGUAGCGGGUCUGAGAGGAUGAUCCGCCACACUGGGAUUGAGACAAGGCCCAGACUCCUACGGGAGGCAGCAGUGGGGAAUAUUGGACAAUGGGCAGAAGCCUGAUCCAGCCAUGCCGCGUGUGUGAAGAAGGCCUUUUGGUUGUAAAGCACUUUAAGCGAGGAGGAGGCUACCUGGAUUAAUACUCUAGGAUAGUGGACGUUACUCGCAGAAUAAGCACCGGCUAACUCUGUGCCAGCAGCCGCCGUAAGAC